rnacentral:rRNA from 1 species
CAGCAGCCGCGGUAAUACGAAGGGGGCUAGCGUUGUUCGGAAUUACUGGGCGUAAAGGGCGCGUAGGCGGCCAUUCAAGUUAGAUGUGAAAGCCCUGGGCUCAACCUAGGAAUUGCAUUUGAUACUGUUUGGCUUGAGUUCGGGAGAGGUGAGUGGAAUUCCCAGUGUAGAGGUGAAAUGCGUAGAGAUGUGGAGGAAUACCGAUGGCGAAGGCAGCCCCCUGGGCCAAUACUGACGCUCAUGCACGAAAGCGUGGGGAGCAAACAGGAUUAGAUACCCGCGUAGUCCCUGUCUCUUAUAC